rnacentral:lncRNA from 1 species
CUCUUCUUUGCCCCAGUUUCCUCUCUUGCUGGAUAUAGGCCACGUCAUAAGUGCUUAAGACAACAGCAGCUUGUGGAAUCAAAACAGCUCCCAAAGUUCAGGUUGUGAUUUUGCCUGCAUCCUUCUAACUGGCCACAGCUCUUCCCUUAGCGGAAAUAGAAAGACUCAGAAGAAGAGAGAGUAAAGUAGAUGGACAGGAAGACAGGAUGAGAGCAAGCGUGAGAGAGAGAAAAAAAAAGAGAAUGUGAGGACAAGAGAAAGAGCACUGGGCAAGAGAAUGCGAAGGGAAAGAAGAUAUUUAUUGGUUCCUCCCACUGUGCUGAAAGAGGAAAUGCGAUUUUGGAUCUGGCCUUGGAAGAUAAUUACGUUUUGGUCUGAUGGAUAAGUGGGCACGUUUAUGACCACAGAAUGCAAUGGCCCUAAUAUAAAGAAGCUGAGAUCCAUAAAGCAAAUGUGGGAGUUAUGAGAAAGUGUGUUUAUUGACAAUUUUAUCAUUCUAAGGUGAGUGUGCCUAUAAAAGAAAGAGAAAAAUUAGAAACACACAAACCCAGGGUAAAUUACCCCAGCCACCAAAUCAGAAAGACUACCACAAAC